GACGAACGCUGGCGGCGUGCUUAAUACAUGCAAGUCAACUUGACUUUAGAUAGCAAUAUCGAAAAGUAGGGUGGCGCACGGGUGCGUAACGCGUGGGUAAUCUGCCCUGAGGUCUGACAUAACCCGUCGAAAGGCGGGCUAACAUCAGAUGAUAUAUAAUCACGACAUCGUGGAAAUAUCAAAUCUUCGGAGCCUUGGGAUGAGCCUGCGUCUGAUUAGGUAGUUGGCGGAGUAAUAGCCCACCAAGCCUACGAUCAGUAGCUGGUCUGAGAGGAUGAUCAGCCACACUGGAACUGAGACACGGUCCAGACUCCUACGGGAGGCAGCAGUAAGGAAUAUUGCUCAAUGGGGGAAACCCUGAAGCAGCAACGCCGCGUGAAGGAUGAAAUACUUUUGUAUGUAAACUUCUGUAAGAUGGGAAAAAUAUUCUCCUCGGGAGAAUUGAUUGUACCAUCAGAGUAAGCCCCGGCUAACUACGUGCCAGCAGCC
rnacentral:rRNA from 1 species